AGUGAGCCCAGCUUCAUGGUACUCUUCAAGUUUGAGGUACUUGGAUCAGAUAUAAAUUGAAGGUACAAACCCACCUGUGCGAACUGGUUCCACAAGCUUUCUGACAUGCACUUAGUUUGACACCUUGAAGGCCAAUCUGAAGACAGGUAAUUAAUAUCAGUACCUGGGAGAUGCAAGCACUAAAUCAUUCCCAAUGACACAGUGAUGUAUGACAAGGCAUCAAUCAGUUUGAGCAUAUUUGCCUCGUUAUGGAGGUGGAUAGAUGAGAGAAGAACUGUGACCAAACAUCACCAGGAUCUACUCCUUCCUUCUGGAACUAUUUGUCAUUUCUGAAGUCAAACAUGAAGAUCUCUGGCCUCCUCAAUCAUUUAUGGAUUCUCUGAUGACUUCCUGAUUACCAGAAGACCUCAUAUUGAGGGACUGCUGAAGAUGACAACUUAGUUUGUCACAUCUAGACAAGAAUUAAGGGCCAGAUCCUAGUCCACUAAUUAGGCAUCUAAUGCAGUAACACAUAUUUUUUUAAUACCUCUUCAUCUCAUUCUUAAUUCAGAAGAGGUGAAGAGGGGGAAGACCUAACCACCUUUUGCAUUAAUAGUUUGUUCAGAGUCUCUAGCUGGAUUGUACUUAGAUGUCUAAUAGGUGGAAUAAGGCCUGGUCUUAAUGGGCACCUAAACACGUGCCCAACACUUGCUUCAGUGUGUUCUAAUUGGAGCAAACUCGAUUAAUCAAGUCUGUUGGAGCAUGCUAAUACUCAUCAGUUGCUUUUUUUCAUCAGUUGCUUUAUGUAUCACUAAGGCUUCAUGCCCACCUCUGACUCUGAAGAGGUCAUGAUUUUCUCACUGUUACAUUUCCAAUUUUUCUUCCAGCACAGUAUUCUGACUUAAUCACAUAGUGCAGUGAUACAAUGCAGCUCUUUUGUACAGCAUCUUUUGUAUAAGCUGUAUUCUGAAAUGAUCUGCAGAAUUAAAAUGGCAAGUUUGACUCUAAUGAUAGCAGAAGCAGAAUAAAUUGAGAGGUGGGCAAGAGAAAUGA